rnacentral:rRNA from 1 species
AGCGAACGCUGGCGGCAGGCCUAACACAUGCAAGUCGAACGAAGUCUUCGGACUUAGUGGCGGACGGGUGAGUAACACGUGGGAACGUGCCUUUAGGUACGGAAUAACUCAGGGAAACUUGUGCUAAUACCGAAUGUGCCCUUCGGGGGAAAGAUUUAUCGCCUUUAGAGCGGCCCGCGUCUGAUUAGCUAGUUGGUGAGGUAGAGGCUCACCAAGGCUACGAUCAGUAGCUGGUCUGAGAGGAUGACCAGCCACAUUGGGACUGAGACACGGCCCAAACUCCUACGGGAGGCAGCAGUGGGGAAUCUUGCGCAAUGGGCGAAAGCCUGACGCAGCCAUGCCGCGUGGAUGAUGAAGGUCUUAGGAUUGUAAAAUCCUUUCACCGGUGAAGAUAAUGACUGUAGCCGGAGAAGAAGCCCCGGCUAACUUCGUGCCAGCCGCCGCAGUAAUAC